rnacentral:rRNA from 1 species
UACGUAGGGUCCGAGCGUUGUCCGGAGUUACUGGGCGUAAAGCGCGCGCAGGCGGCGGUAUAAGCAUGGCGUGAAAGCCCCAGGCUUAACCUGGGAGGGUCGUCGUGGACUGUACCGCUUGAGGGCGAUAGGGGCUGGUGGAAUGCCUGGUGUAGUGGUGAAAUGCGUAGAGAUCAGGCGGAACACCCGUGGCGAAGGCGGCCAGCUGGGUCGUCCCUGACGCUGAGGCGCGAAGGCGUGGGGAGCGAACGGGG